UCGAAUGAUGAAAUGCACUGGGCUCUGAGAACUGUUUUGAUGGAAGUGCAUCUGCCUGGAAAGCAUUGUCUGACUU